rnacentral:lncRNA from 1 species
UUUUCUAUUUAAUUUUUAAAAAAAAUUUCCUAACGGAUUUUAUUUUUCUAUAAUUUAAAAAUAUUUUUCUUUUAUAUAUUAAUUUCUGAAUUUCAAAAUAUCUUUUCUUUUUAAGAUAACAGAUUUUAUUUUUCUAUUUAAUUUCAAAAUAUUUUUUCUUUUUUACAUUAAUUCCCGCUCAUAUUUUUCAUUUUUCGACCUCUCCGCUCUCUCAUCACAUUUCCUUCCCAUACUUUUAUUCCCGCUCAUAUUUUUCAUUUUUCGUUCCUCUCCACUCUCUCAUCACUUUAUUCCCGCUCAUAUUUUUCAUUUUUCGUUCCUCUCCACUCUCUCAUCACAAAUAAAUAUGGCUAAUAAAGAUUUAUUCAUCUUCAAGCAAUUUGGAGCAUAUUCUAUUUGUCUUCAAGUUAUUGCAGGAAAUGAGAGUAUAAUCAAGAUUUAUUCGUCUUUAAGUAACUGGACAUUGGAUCAACGAUUAAAUCAUUCUUCAAGUAAUUGGGAAGAGGGAGCAUAUUCUAUUUGCCUUCAAGUAAUUGCAGGAAAGAAAAUUAUAAUCAAGAUCUAUUUGUCUUCAAGUAACUGGGCAUAAGAUCAAUGAUUGAAUCAUUCUUCAA